rnacentral:rRNA from 1 species
CACCUCUAGCUAACAACAUAUAUUAGAGGCACUGCCUGCCCAGUGACUACGUUCAACGGCCGCGGUAUUCUGACCGUGCAAAGGUAGCAUAAUCACUUGUCUUUUAAAUUAAGACUAGUAUGAACGGCAACACGAAAGCCUAACUGUCUCCUUUAUCCAGUCAAUGAAAUUGAUCUUCUCGUGAAAAAGCGAGAAUACAUUAACAAGACGAGAAGACCCUAUGGAACUUUAAACACAUUAACCACUUUUUCAUUUUACCUACUAUAUAAUAUAAAAAUCUGGUAUACUGUUUUUGGUUGGGGUGACCAAGGAGAAAAAUAUAACCUCCAUGAACCACACUAAGACUAACAUAAUCAAAGUAUUAAAAUUUUAAAUUUAUGACCCAAUAAACUUGAUCAACGAACCAAGCUACCCUAGGGAUAACAGCGCAAUCUUCUCCAAGAGCCCAUAUCGCCAAGAAGGUUUACGACCUCGAUGUUGGAUCAGGAUUACCAGACAGUGCAGCCGCCGUCAAAGGUUUGUUUGUUCAACAAUUAAAAUCCU